UUCCAAGCAGAGAUGCCAGAUUUGCAGACAAGUCUGCAAAUUCGCAGACUUUUAAUUUAAGCUGCAGAUUUUUUCGAUGACGCAGAUAUUUGCAGAUUUUCUAGUUUUGUUGCGGAUAUUUGCAGAUUUUUUAGUUUUGUUGCAGAUAUUUGAAUAUAAAGACUUUUGGUUACACUAGCUUUCCUGACAUUUUUGUUCUUCCCAGACUUUUAAAAUUAUUAUUGCAGACAUUUGAAAAAAGUACCUGGCAUCUUUGUCCAAGCAGAAAAUUUUAUUUGGAAUCAAAUUUUAAAUCUUUCGUAAAGCAGUUGCAGUGGUCAGCGAACUAUGUGGACAUAAAUUGAACUUGGUGGAGAACGAGAGUUUUCUCGGGUUGAGUUCAAGCUCCUAUUCUAGUAAUAACACACGUCAAUACGAGUCCCGUCAGUGGUGCACCACAAAAUGUAACCGUUCCCCAAUUAAAGAAGAUAUUCUACGAUUUCGUUGGCGCAGCAGUUUUCAAAAUUAUGCCAUCCCAGGUAAAUCCAGUUCUAUGAAAAAUGGUACCCGCGAAUCGCUGUCCGAAGGAUUGGUCUGUGAGUGCGAACAAAAAGGUGCAAACGGCAAAUAAAAUGCACCAAUCGUUUCAUAUAAUUUUGAUUGUGAAGCACUCCUCGACACAUUUUCCUACAGUGGACUCUGCUACCAAAAGUAUACUGGGAAGUAUGUCAGCAACAUAAAGAGCUAAAGACUACUUAACGGCUGCUUCUGUAAACGGACAUAUUGCUGCCUGGAAAUGAAGAAGUUAAACGGAACUGCACCACGAUAACCGGUGUUCUUAUAUUUGUGAUAGUUCAGUUCAAUUUACGUACUGCUCUGAACGUUCUGACGCAUUUUGUGGAAAUUAUAAAUGUAAAACACUCAAAAAAUAAUCUUCAGCAGCUCAAUUUUCAACAAAAUCGCAUAUGCAGCAGCACCAAUCACCGACAUCAGAUUGUGCAAAUUGAACCCAACGCAUUUGCCUGGUUUGAUUAUGUUCGACGGUUUUUCGUCAUACAGUGGAAACGGCAUUGAUUUCGACAUAAUUUUUAAUAACGAAAUGAUGUACAUCUCCGGUAUAUACGUUGGACAGCUCUUUACGGAAUGAUGAGUGCCGGCGAAUCAACUAUUUGGCAAUAUGUGUGAACAAAAUAAACAAUAGCAGACUUUGUAUGUUUGGCUAAUAAUUUCUCCAAUCUGGUAUCCUGUUGUCCGUCAUCAUUUGUUUGAAGGAUAUGCAAGUUAUACAGUGGAUAUUUGCAAUGCGUUUAGUUGCUGCGGGACGAAAUACGCCAUCAAUUGAUUGAUGCCAUCCAGGAUUGCGAGAAACCUGAAUCGGAGUGAAAUUUCUAGACAAAUAUGUCAAAUGAUGCUAAGUGCAUGUGUAAGUAGUAUAGUAAUAAUUGCUUAGUAUAGUAAUAUGAAUUAUUCAUUGUAUCAUGUUUUCGAUGCACAGUAAAGAUAAUUGUUACCUAAAAUUUAAUUGUGAACGAUGUCGAAACAGUAAGAACAGUAAUAUCUAUAGUUCAUGGAUUGUUUGUAGGGUAAAUGCUAUUGUUAAAUUCCAUUCGGGUAAAGAUCAUUAAAAAGUUUCUUUCUAGAUCUAGACUUAUCAAAUUAAGGAUAUUGAGCGAAAAUAAUACACAUGAAUGCUAUUUGCCAAAAAUCUUAUGCGUGCUUCUUAUUCCGUGUCCCGUCGCUUAUCCAAAGUGUUUACACCUUUUAUUAUACUCUUGUCCAUUUUUGCUUGUUUUCAAAACUGAGUCAGGUUCAACCCCAACUGCUGUUGCUUUUGCCUUUCUCAUAAA